UAUUUUACAUAGAGUUUGGUAUCAAUCCUUCUUUUGUUUAUGUAUGCCUGUUAUUAUGUAAUAUUUAUGAUAAAAUUUAUAAUUGUCUAGCAAACUAUGGCGUAGUGCUGCUGUUGUGUGUUGAAUCAUUGAUGGCUGGGUCGACCACUGGUGUACCGAUGUCUUCUUGGUAUGGCUGAUACCAAACCGCAACGCCGCUGCCUUACUACUCAAAAGCAACUUAUGCAACGACCAGUUACUGCACCGAGGUCUUCAAGUACUACACCACUAAAGCAUCGGACUUUAAUAGCACAACUUACGCUGCCCCGAGCCACUACACUGACGCCCUGAAGUAUUACUCUGCCCCGAGUUACUACACCACCAAGGCGACGGAGGAUGACCACGCAUUCUGCCCCAUCCUACUACACCGAGACUCCUAACUGCUACACCGAGGCUCCCACUGAUUAGUACACCGAAGCGGCAAGUACUACUCUGCCCCGAUCUACACAACCAUAACUGAGGCGGCCAAGUAUUACGAUGUCCCGACUUACUGCACAGAAGCUGCUCUUUCGUGCUACGUUGAACAGAAAUACUACACUGAUGCUCAAAUCUACUACACCACGGCCUACGCUACACCUAGCUACAACACCGCAGCCCCCAGUACUACACCGAAGAAGCCGCCUAUUACACAACUACGUACGCUGCCUAGUUUACUACAUCGACGAAAUUAAGUAUUGCCCUGCUCGAAACUACUACCAACUUAGGUUCAUAUUUAUUGCAAUUUCCACGAUUAUGUCACCACUGCUCCGACCUAUACACCUAACUUCUGAAGUAUUUUUCUGUAUGUGUUGAAAGAUUGCUGAAAUACAAGAUUGAUUGA